CACAUGCAGUCGAGCGGUUGAGGGAAGCUUGCUUCCUGAUUCAGCGGCGGACGGGUGAGUAAUGCCUAGGAAUCUGCCUGGUAGUGGGGGACAACGUUUCGAAAGGAACGCUAAUACCGCAUACGUCCUACGGGAGAAAGCAGGGGACCUUCGGGCCUUGCGCUAUCAGAUGAGCCUAGGUCGGAUUAGCUAGUUGGUGAGGUAAUGGCUCACCAAGGCGACGAUCCGUAACUGGUCUGAGAGGAUGAUCAGUCACACUGGAACUGAGACACGGUCCAGACUCCUACGGGAGGCAGCAGUGGGGAAUAUUGGACAAUGGGCGAAAGCCUGAUCCAGCCAUGCCGCGUGUGUGAAGAAGGUCUUCGGAUUGUAAAGCACUUUAAGUUGGGAGGAAGGGCAGUCAGCGAAUACCUUGCUGUCUUGACGUUACCGACAGAAUAAGCACCGGCUAACUCUGUGCCAGCAGCCGCGGUAAUACAGAGGGUGCAAGCGUUAAUCGGAAUUACUGGGCGUAAAGCGCGCGUAG
rnacentral:rRNA from 1 species